rnacentral:rRNA from 1 species
ACGGAGGGAGCUAGCGUUGUUCGGAUUUACUGGGCGUAAAGGGAGCGUAGGCGGUUGGGUAAGCCCUCCGUGAAAUCUCCGGGCCUAACCCGGAAAGGGCGGAGGGGACUGCUCGGCUAGAGGAUGGGAGAGGAGCGCGGAAUUCCCGGUGUAGCGGUGAAAUGCGUAGAGAUCGGGAGGAAGGCCGGUGGCGAAGGCGGCGCUCUGGAACAUAUCUGACGCUGAGGCUCGAAAGCGUGGGGAGCAAACAGGAUUAGAUACCCUGGUAGUCCACGCCUUAAACUAUGAAUACUAAGUGUCGGCGGGUUACCGCCGGUGCCGCAGCUAACGCAUUAAGUAUUCCGCCUGGGAAGUACGGCCGCAAGGUUG